rnacentral:rRNA from 1 species
AGUGAACGCUGGCGGUAGGCCUAACACAUGCAAGUCGAACGGCAGCACAGGAGAGCUUGCUCUCUGGGUGGCGAGUGGCGGACGGGUGAGGAAUACAUCGGAAUCUACUCUGUCGUGGGGGACAACGUAGGGAAACUUACGCGAAUACCGCCUACGCACUACGGGUGAAAGCAGGGGCCCUUCGGGCCUUGCGCGAUUGAAUGAGCCGAUGUCGGAUUAGCUAGUUGGCGGGGUAAAGGCCCACCAAGGCGACGAUCCGUAGCUGGUCUGAGAGGAUGAUCAGCCACACUUGAACUGAGACACGGUCCAGACUCCUACGGGAGACAGCAGUGGGGAAUAUUGGACAAUGGGCGCAAGCCUGAUCCAGCCAUACCGCGUGGGUGAAGAAGGCCUUCGGGUUGUAAAGCCCUUUUGUUGGGAAAGAAGUCCAGCUGGCUAAUACCCGGUUGGGAUGACGGUACCCAAAGAAUAAGCACCGGCUAACUUCGUGCCAGCCGCCGCAGUAA